CCGGAAGUAAGUUACACCACCAUCACAAGACAGAAGAGAAAGAAGCUUUCACACAUACCUUCCUUCUAAGACACCCAUUCACGCACUCCCUACUUCCACCCAUCUUUCUCCUCUCAACUCCCAAACUACAAGCCAAGAAUUUCCCCUCCAACAAUAUGUCUUCUCCAUAAUAAAAUAUAUUCUACAAAUGGAAGGAACAACAACAAAACCCCCACAGCAAAUCUCCGAAAUGUUUCACAAAUUUGCUAACGUUGUCAAAACCAAAACCUUCGAACUCUUCGCCGACGACAACGAAGACAACUCCAACACAGACAACAACAACACUGAUGAUGUCUUCACUCUCCUUAACUCCACCGAAGAAUUUAUCCCCGACCAAAAAGUCGUUGUAAUCAAACCCGAUUUCUGCAAAUUCCCUCAAUUAACCAACAACUUCACUAAAUCCCUUAUUUCUUCCCUCUUCGCUGCUAUUUCUUCAUUUGAAGCUUCAUAUCUUCAGUUACAAACAGCUCAUGUACCAUUUGACGAAAAUGCCCUUGAAUCAGCUGAUAAAGUUUUGGUCUCAAUUCUUCAGAAAUUAACUGAAAUGAAGAGUUUGUAUAAGGAUUUUAGGAAAAACCCUUGUUGUAAUAUUGAUUUUCUUGGCGGGUCAGAAUUGGAAUUUCAGGUUCAGGAGCAUCAGAGCAAGCUUAGAGUUUUGGAGACUAUGGUAAAUCAGUUGUUAACUUAUAUGGAAUCUAAAGAUGAAGAAGUUUCAAUUUUGAAGAAAAAAUUGGAAAAAAUUCAAGAUUUUAAUUCGAAUUUAUCGAAAAAAUUGAAGAAUAGUAGUGAGGUAUUGUGUACAAUUCGUGUUUUUGAAUCUAUGUUACGCGAUUCGAUUAAAUCAGUGAAUAAAUUUUGUAAGUUGUUGAUGGAGUUAAUGAAAAGGGCAGGUUGGGAUUUGGAGAAAGCUGCAAAUUCUGUGUAUUCUGAUGUUAAUUAUGUAGAGAAGGGGCACUAUAAAUAUGCGUUUUUGUCAUAUAUUUGUUUGGGAAUGUUUAAGGGAUUUGAUCAGGAAGACUUUGGUGUGAGUGAGGAAGAAAUGUUGUCAAAUGGAUCCUUAUCGUUUGAGAAUGAUUAUAAUUUGAAACUAUUACUUGAGCAUGUUUCAUGUAAUCCAAUGGAGACUUUGAGUAAGAAUCCUAGUUGUGCAUUUUCAAGAUUUUGUGAGAAGAAGUAUGAGCAGAUAAUUCAUCCUACGAUAGAAUCAUCAAUUUUCCGAGAUUUGGAUGGAAAGGAAGUUAUAUGUUCAUGGAAGUCGUUAAGUGUGUUUUAUGAGUUGUUUGUGAGGAUGGCUAGUUCAAUAUGGUUGCUUCAUAAGCUGGCUUAUUCGUUUAAUCCUGUAGUUGAGAUAUUCCAAGUUGAGAGUGGGGUGGACUUUUCGAUGGUGUACAUGGAAGAUGUUACAAGGAAAAGUCAGCUCCCACUGAGCAAAACGAGGCCGAAGGUGGGAUUUACUGUGGUGCCUGGGUUUAAAAUUGGGAGGACAAUCGUUCAGACACAGGUUUAUCUAACUGGUUUAAAAGGCAUGGAAGGGUAAACAAAGACAUCUGUACAGUCGUCUGGAGUUUCUUUGCUUUAUUAUGUGUUCCCACUGACCUAAACCAAGAGAUUCAUAGUGCUCCUUUUGACAGCUAACUCUCUUUGGUACCUGAAUUCAAAGAAUUCUUGUCAAAGUGAUAGACGCUGCUAUUGCCGAGGGAUAAGCCAUCUUAUAUCAUUGCAGAAGUUGGUGUCCUUGCCGGCAUGGAUUGGUAUCGAUGCCUUUUGCUAUUGUCGCUAUUGUUAGCACAUGUAUUUUUCUGAUAAGAUUGUGUCGGGCCAGCACAAUGCGUGAAACCCAGACAGACGCAAGCAUUUGUCUACGUAAUUUUAAGGCGCUUUGAUCUGGACGACUUUGGUUUUUGUAUGACAAGGAAAUUUUCUGUAAUUGCAAUGGUUCGGUAUCUGGUGAAAUGGUUGCUUACUAUUACUUGGGCAUGCUUAUGUAACCCGAUGAAAGCUUUGAGUAGGAAUGCAAGCUGUCUGCUUUUCGAAUUUCCAGUAUAAGCAAAAUAAUUCAUCCUCCAAUAGGAUCUUCAAAUUGCAGCAAUUUGGAUGAGAAAAAGGCAUAAUGAAACACAUGAAAGGCACUAAGCGUGUUUUAUGAGUUGGUUGUAAGGAUGGAUGUGCAUAUGGUUGCUUCAUAAGCUGGGGAUAUGCAUUUAUUUCCGUACCUGAGAUAUUCCAAGUUGCGAGUAGGCUGGACUUUGGAAUCGUUUACAUGGAAGAUGUUACAAGGAAAAUACUUAUUAAAAGAAAGAUGUUAUGCGGAAAAGUGAAUUCCUUUUGAGCAAGUCGAGGCCAAAGGUGGGAUUUAAUAUUAUACCUGUUUUUGUGAUUGGAAGGUGAAUCAUUUAGACUCAAGUUUAUAUAACUAGCUUUGGAUGCAGAGAGGUGUGUAAAGAAAGAGAGUAUAGUGGUGUUGUGCAAGUUCUUCGUUUCAUUUCUCCGACUUAAAACUGUGAGAUUGAGUACAUUACAUCUGUCAACAAACUCCUUUUGGUACUAUUAUCCAAACAAUUUAUGUCAAAGUGAUAGAUCCUUCUACGUUGAAGGGACAUUCGUCAAAGGCGCUGUCCCUUGCCGGACAGGAUUGGUAUGGAUUUUCUUGUCAUGGCAGAAGCUGGUUACUGGGUGACCUAAUUUGUGUAUUUACUUGCUUAGAAUUUCUAUUUUCACGGCUUCUGGUAUGUCCUAUAAAAUGUCUGUACACCUCUGGUUUAUGGGGUUUCAUUAUUGUUUUCUUUAUAAAGUGAUAGAUGCUGCUACUGC